rnacentral:rRNA from 1 species
GACGUAGGGCGCGAGCGUUGUCCGGAUUUAUUGGGCGUAAAGAGCUCGUAGGCGGCUUGUCGCGUUGUCCGUGAAAAUUUACAGCUCAACUGUGAACUUGCGGGCGAUACGGGCAGGCUAGAGUACUGCAGGGGAGACUGGAAUUCCUGGUGUAGCGGUGAAAUGCGCAGAUAUCAGGAGGAACACCGGUGGCGAAGGCGGGUCUCUGGGCCGAUACUGACACUGAGGAGCGAAAGCGUGGGGAGCGAACAGG